rnacentral:rRNA from 1 species
GGCCCCGCACAAGCGGUGGAGUAUGUGGUUUAAUUCGAUGCAACGCGAAGAACCUUACCAGGGCUUGACAUCCUGCGAACCUCUGGGAAACCGGAGGGUGCCUUCGGGAACGCAGUGACAGGUGGUGCAUGGCUGUCGUCAGCUCGUGUCGUGAGAUGUUGGGUUAAGUCCCGCAACGAGCGCAACCCACGUCUUUAGUUGCCAGCAUUUAGUUGGGCACUCUAGAGAGACUGCCGGUGAUAAACCGGAGGAAGGUGUGGAUGACGUCAAGUCAUCAUGCCCCUUACAUCCCUGGGCUACACACGUACUACAAUGCUACGGACAAAGGGCUGCAAGUUCGCGAGGACAAGCAAAAUCCCAUAAACCGUGGCUCAGUUCAGAUCGUAGGCUGCAACUCGCCUACGUGAAGGCGGAAUCGCUAGUAAUCGC